GGGUUCGGCAAGGGACAAACGACAUGAGAGAAGGAACGGGUAAAAGAAUUUGAGAAUGGGCCGAUCAAAGAUUACGAAAAAAUUCAAUUUGUGUAAUCUUUAUUCCCGUUUGUGACUCCAUGAACUCCAUGAGGGGGUGUUGUCUUAACUCUUAGUAUAGAGAGACUCUGGCAAAAUGUAGUCCAGUUUCUCCAUGGUUCGAUUGCAUGAGUCCUUUAUACUGCUGUUUAUGUUCCAUGCCGCACAGGACAGGAUGGCAACGUUUCGAGUUGUCGUGACUGCGAAAAAAUUGGAGUUGGGGGGGGGGGGGGUUCGGGUACAUGAGAAUGGACGAGCAUUCCUCCGUUUGCGUUUGUGUGCUGAGUCUGGAUGACAAACACGAUACACUUCCAAAUAGUUCAGUUACCUACUUAACGACCCAUUAGUUCUGUAAGUUUUCCGGACGAGUGCAACUGUACUAAACUUGGCUUACACGGAGACCGAUCAAUUUUUUCGAUGAUGGAGAAGAUUAUUUUAUAUAUCCUCGUGACAUGCGGAUUUUUUUGGCCGAGUGCGAAAGCUGAGAUUUCACCGGAGGAGCUUGCAACUCUCCAGGACUACCGAGCCAUUGAUGAAAUCUUACUCAGUUACCUGAGGAACGUCAUUGUUAUUUUGGAAUCCAAAAUAGAUUAUAUAUAUUUUUUGCGGGACUCUCUCACUGGGCACAAUCAUUUGAAGUUGGAUCCGCAACACUACUCAAAAGAUGCGCUCCAGAACUUUAAAUUGGCCAAACGGUUCAUGUAUCAGUGGAAGCUAAUUCAUAGAAGUGUUCGCGACAACCCCAUCGAAAGAUUGGAUGAUCGAUACCGACAGUUGCUAGCUAAAUAUGCAUUUCCGUCGAUGACUGAUUUGAGGAAUUUUGCAAUGGACUACUUACGCAUACAAAUUAGGAGAAAUAUUCCCACCGUGGAUCUUGCGAGCGGUACAUUUCUGGGUGCAAAACACAAGACGGCGUUGCGCGGUGAGAAAUACAUUUACAGCAUAAGAACAAAAAAAAACUCUAAUUUAUGUAUUUGAGUUCGAGGCCCAACUGUAAAAAAUGUGCAUUUGACUGAGAAAUUAAAAUAUUUCAACACCGCGUUUGAAUGUAAAAAAAAAAAU
rnacentral:lncRNA from 1 species